AACGCACCUUGCGCUCCUUGGUAUUCCUUGGAGCAUGCCUGUUUGAGUGUCUUGAAUAUCUCUGCUCCCUCAUUUUUUAAUUAAAGUGGGUUUGGAGUCAGGUCCUUGGGCUUGCUUGCGCUUUGUUACUAAAGACAAGCUUGCCUUAAAUGCAUUAGCUGGAUUUCAGUAGAGUUGUUAAGUAACAUUGAAAACUCUCGUAAUAUGGAGUCUGCUCAUAACUUAAGUCUGUCUUAAUUGACGGCGAUAUUCAUUUUCUUUGGCCUCAAAUCAGGUAGGACUACCCGCUGAACUUAA
rnacentral:misc_RNA from 1 species